UUGUAUUAAUAUACUUUUUUCCAGAUAAUCCACAGAGACUUAGCUGCCAGGAAUGUCCUUAUUACGGAAGAGAGGACGUGCAAGGUGGCCGACUUUGGGUUCGCGAGAGACGUGGCUGGCACCCACGUUUACGAGAGAAAGAGUGAUGGACGUCUUCCUAUAAGAUGGAUGGCGCCGGAGUCUCUAUACGACGAUAUAUUUAGUGUUAAAUCAGACAUUUGGAGUUUUGGUGUUCUAUUAUGGGAGAUAGUCACUCUUGGUUCAACACCGUAUCCUGGAUUAUCUGCUGGCGACGUCAUGAGAAAGGUCCGCGAAGGUCACCGUCUAGAGAAGCCAGAGCACUGUCGUCGCGAACUAUACAACAUCAUGUACUAUUGCUGGGAAGCUGAGCCAUCAGCAAGACCGGACUUCAAAGAGGUAGUGUCAAUGCUGGAACGACUGCUUUGCACGGAGAUGGACUACAUAGAACUGGAAAGGUUCCCAGAUCACUCGUAUUAUAAUGUACAACAUCUGGAUGGGGAGAAACUAUAGUUAAAUAUUGUAGUCAUUUUUAUACGCAAAUAAAUGGGAAUCACUAGAAAUUAUAGUUAUAAAGAGACUAAUUUUCGCUCGUAGCUUCGCCCGCGUGAAGUUUUCCGGGAUAUUUUUUUCUGACUUACUUGAUGUAUCGUUAUAUUAUGACAAAAUUACACAUAAUCAUUAUAAAUUGUAACCUAUGUGUUAUUCUAAUGUAUAACCAAUAUUACUGUAAAGUUUCAUCCUAAUCCGUUUAGUAGUUUUUUUCGUGAAAGAGGAACAAACAUACAUCCAUACAACCACCCUUACAAACUUUCGCAUUUAUAAUAUUAGUAGGAUAACACUGUUUUACUUUUUAUAAAAAAAUCUAGUUAUAGUAUUUCUUAACGUUGACGUGCAUCCGAAAAGUAGUGCAAACACAGAAGUAUAACUUAAUUAUUAUUAUAUUUCCGUUUAAGAACAACAUAUAAUUUAUAUAUGAUAUUUUUAAAUAGUUAAACAGAUAAUUUAUAGUGAUUCACAUUUACUUUAAUAUAUAAAUAUAAGGGUGUUCAUGUACUAAGAACCAAACAGCUAUUUAUCCGUCCGUCUAUACCAAACAUUCCAAUAUGCAUGAGGACAGUUACAAAUUGGAAUUUUUAAAAUUUAUUUUACGGUUGAUACCCGUAAGGCCCUAAUUUGCUUGCUUCCCGUUUAAUUCUUGCUAACCAUAUCAACGCUCGAAAUAUAAUUAUAUCUAAGCGACAAAUAUACCCAAAGUUAUAUAUAUCACUGGAAUAGUAAAAUAUUUCAGCGUCGUUGUAUAGGUUUCGUAGCCCUAGAACAGUUUUCAUAUUAAUAUAUUUAUUUAAUGAUUUCUUAUGUUUACGCGAAUGUUAGACAUUGAAAUAAAACUAAAAACUAUUUAACAUAAUAAUAAUAAAUAAGUAAGGAGAAAAUAAUAAUAUAAAAAACCGCGAUAAAAUCCGUUAAAUAGUUUUUAGUUUUAUUUCAAUAUAUUUAUUGUUACACUGCAAAUAGUUUGAUAUUCUUUUUUACUAUAAUCAAACUUUGCACGCUCUACUGGAGUUUACUAUUUGGCGCUUAGAUAUAAUUAACUUUCAAAUGUCGAUAUAGUAAAAGCAUCGUCUAAAUAUUUAUUAUGAGGCAUAUUACAUCUAAACAUGCUUAUAGAAUCAAGUAUAUUGUUUACUUAAAUUAUUGAGAUAUGACAUGAACAAAACAGUGGCUUAAUGGGAACUUUGGAAGAAGCAUGCUUUUAGUAGCAUAUACGUGUAUAAACCAAAAAUAUUACAUAUGCUCUGUACUUUGUUUUAAAAUAAUUUUCUAAUUUAUAACGACUCUACAUUCCAAAUGGCUGUUUUAAAAAUAAUUUUUACUUUCACAUUCUUCCCCCAAUGUUUAUAUUGUAUAAAUACAUUUAUAUUUUAUUUAGUGCAAUGUGUAAAUAUUUAACGUUGUAAGUUUGCACAGUCCUUUAAAUACUUUAAGCACUGCGCAGACGUCGUCAAAUUGUUGCCAAACACUACCAUGACACACUAAUAUGGUUCAUUUGCUAACGUUACUCUUUCAACAGAGUGUAGUGCUUCUCAAACACUUUGAAACCGUUUGCGUGACGCCUAAUAUACUGUAAGUUCAUAAUUUUGAUACAAAACAUUUGCUAUUUUAAUAUAAUAACUCGUUAAAGCCCCAUUGAUGGCUGCGUUAUUGAAAACGUCGAGGUCCUUUCUUUGAUUCCCAAGUCAAAUAGUAUGUAAAACUAUCGAUACGAAAAAAAUAUUAGGGGCCAAUAUAUAAAUAGGAUUGCCGCCUAUCCAUACAUUAUAUUCACGAACGAACGUAAAUGAAGGCCUGUUGGUAGGUUUACCUCUUUGUUUAGCGUUAUAUAAAAGUAUGCCCUUAUGAAUUAAAUUAAGAGGCAUUUGUAAAACGUAUACUUUUAUUACUGAGAGUGGGUAUACCUAUUUGUUUAGCGUGAUAUAAAAAUACGCACAUAUGAAUUAUAUUAUACGUAAAUUAUACCUUUGUUACUUAUGUCCCUUAGCAGAGCUUGUUUCGAGACAUAAUGUUACAAAACUUGUCUGAUUUCGAGGCAAUGUGUAUAUUCCUGUGUUUUGUAGACUUGUUGCGAAACACCACUUCCACCUCGAGAUAAAAUAGUCUGCAGUCGAGGUAGCGUGUGUCGGGCUAUCUCAGUGAGAUAUCACCUUAUCUAGAGGCAAAAUUGAAUAUAAUUUGUCCGCGGUCAUGCCAAUGUGUGUUCUGCCUUGCCGUUAACCACUGCCACGACUUGUGGUAGAAUGCAAUACAAUUUGUGCGGAGUCGAGGCAAUGUAUGUCUUCUGCUUCGCUUCAAUCCACCGCCUCGAGUCGUCUGGAUUUACUCUUUAAGCUGGUGUAUAAAGACGUUUAAAAUAACGGUACUAAUAGUGUAAAAAAUGAGAUUAAUAUCGCAUAAUAUUUUCUAAAGUAAAAUAGGCUCCUAGUCUUAAGAUAUAGAUAAUGUUUAUAAAAUUGUGAUUACUGAAGCUUGGAUUACACGGUAUUAGUAUAUUCACCCGUAUACGCAAAAGGAAUUCUUUUUAUUUUUAAUUAAUAGUAAAUAUAACAUGAAAAUGUUUAUUUUAGUACUCUUCUUUUGAAUAUUCUGUUACAUAAGUAUGAAAUAUUUGUUAUAACAAAAACAUAAUUAUUAAACUGGUUAUAUUUCAGGGGGCCUAUUCUAUCCACGGGGGCCAAUUCGUCUUUUUGCAACUACGGGCUAUCUGAUCAAAAGACAAUUUUGACAGCCAUAUAGGUAAAAUAAUUAGAAAAUUCCUUUUUUAUCCAUGCGAUUCUCAAAGCUGUUCUUCUAUUAGAACGCCGGUAAUCUCAAAAAGACGAAUUUGCCCCCUUAGACGGAAUAGGGCUCACAGAGUUUACUUUAUAUAAAUGCUUCGGUUGAAAAUUACCAUGAUGUUUAGUGUAGAAAAGAAGAAAUGCCGUGUAAUUCAGGUUCAAAAAUACACAUGUAAUAAAUGUUUUGUUAAAGUAAA